rnacentral:rRNA from 1 species
UAGAGUUUGAUCCUGGCUCAGAUUGAACGCUGGCGGAAUGCUUUACACAUGCAAGUCGAACGGGCUUAAAGAGCUUGCUCUUUAAGUUAGUGGCGAACGGGUGAGUAAUAUAUCGGAACGUAUCCAAUAAUGGGGGAUAACUAAUCGAAAGGUUGGCUAAUACCGCAUACGCCCUACGGGGGAAAGCUAGGGACCUUCGGGCCUGGCGUUAAUGGAGCGGCCGAUAUCUGAUUAGCUAGUUGGUGGGGUAAAGGCCCACCAAGGCUUCGAUCAGUAGCUGGUCUGAGAGGACGACCAGCCACACUGGAACUGAGACACGGUCCAGACUCCUACGGGAGGCAGCAGUGGGGAAUUUUGGACAAUGGGCGAAAGCCUGAUCCAGCCAUUCCGCGUGAGUGAAGAAGGCCUUCGGGUUGUAAAGCUCUUUCGCAAGGGAAGAACACUUAAUCUCUAACAUAGAUUGAGGUUGACGGUACCUUGAUAAGAAGCACCGGCUAACUACGUGCCAGCAGCCGCGGUAAUACGUAGGGUGCGAGCGUUAAUCGGAAUUACUGGGCGUAAAGCGUGCGCAGGCUGUUUUGUAAGUCAGAUGUGAAAUCCCUGAGCUCAACUUAGGAACUGCGUUUGAAACUACAAGACUAGAAUAUGUCAGAGGGGGGUAGAAUUCCACGUGUAGCAGUGAAAUGCGUAGAGAUGUGGAGGAAUACCAAUGGCGAAGGCAGCCCCCUGGGAUAAUAUUGACGCUCAUGCACGAAAGCGUGGGGAGCAAACAGGAUUAGAUACCCUGGUAGUCCACGCCCUAAACGAUGUCUACUAGUUGUUGGUGGAGUAAAAUCCAUGAGUAACGCAGCUAACGCGUGAAGUAGACCGCCUGGGGAGUACGGUCGCAAGAUUAAAACUCAAAGGAAUUGACGGA